rnacentral:rRNA from 1 species
GAUGAAAAUCAAUUCCCGGUACCCGAAACCGACACAGGUGGGCAAGUAGAGAAUACUAAGGGGCGCGAGGUAACUCUCUCCAAGGAACUCGGCAAAAUGACCCCGUAACUUAGGGAGAAGGGGUGCCACCGAGAGGUGGUCGCAGUGAAGAGGCCCAGGCGACUGUUUAGCAAAAACAUAGGUCUCUGCAAACUCGAAAGAGGAGGUAUAGGGGCUGACGCCUGCCCAGUGCCGGAAGGUUAAAGAAGUUGGUCAGUCUUAGGAUAAAGCUAGCGACUGAAGCCCCGGUGAACGGCGGCCGUAACUAUAACGGUCCUAAGGUAGCGAAAUUCCUUGUCGGGUAAGUUCCGACCCGCACGAAAGGCGUAACGAUCUGGGCGCUGUCUCGGAGAGAGGCUCGGCGAAAUAGGAUUGUCUGUGAAGAUACGGACUACCUGCAUUUGGACAGAAAGACCCUAUGAAGCUUUACUAUAGCUUGGAAUUGUGUUCGGGCUUCCUGUGCGCAGGAUAGGUGGGAGGCGAAGAAGGUAUUCUUGUGGGGAUACUGGAGCCAACGGUGAGAUACCACUCUCAGGAGGCUAGAAUUCUAACUUAACUAAGGACAGUUUCAGGUGGGUAGUUUGACUGGGGCGGUCGCCUCCAAAAAGGUAACGGAGGCGUACAAAGGUUCCCUCAGACUGGUUGGAAAUCAGUCGCAGAGUGCAAAGGCAGAAGGGAGCUUGACUGCGAGAAGUACAGUUCGAGCAGGGUGGAAACACGGUCUUAGUGAUCCGACGGUGCUGUGUGGAAGGGCCGUCGCUCAACGGAUAAAAGUUACUCUAAGGAUAACAGGCUGAUCUCCCCCAAGAGUUCACAUCGACGGGGAGGUUUGGCACCUCGAUGUCGGCUCAUCGCAACCUGGGGCGGAAGUACGUCCCAAGGGUUGGGCUGUUCGCCCAUUAAAGCGGUACGUGAGCUGGGUUCAGAACGUCUGAGACAGUUCGGUCCAUAUCCGAUGUAGGCGUGAGAAUAUUGAGAGGAGCCUUCCUUAGUACGAGAGGACCGGGAAGGACGCACCGCUGGUGUACCUGUUAUGAUGCCAAUUGUAAACGCAGGGUAGCCAAGUGCGGAGAGGAUAACCGCUGAAAGCAUCUAAGUGGGAAGCCCACCUCAAGAUGAGUAUUCUGGUGUAAGGUCACGGGAAGACGACCCGUAAAUAGGCACGAGGUGGAAGUGCAGAGAUGUAUGAAGCCGAAGUGUACUAAUAGACCGUCGGCUUGACC